AGUGAACGCUGGCGGUAGGCCUAACACAUGCAAGUCGAACGGCAGCACAGUAAGAGCUUGCUCUUACGGGUGGCGAGUGGCGGACGGGUGAGGAAUACAUCGGAAUCUACUUUUUCGUGGGGGAUAACGUAGGGAAACUUACGCUAAUACCGCAUACGACCUACGGGUGAAAGCAGGGGAUCUUCGGACCUUGCGCGAUUGAAUGAGCCGAUGUCGGAUUAGCUAGUUGGCGGGGUAAAGGCCCACCAAGGCGCCGAUCCGUAGCUGGUCUGAGAGGAUGAUCGGCCACACUGGAACUGGGACACGGUCCAUGCUCCUACGGGAGGCAGCAGUGGGGAAUAUUGGACAAUGGGCGCAAGCCUGGUCCAGCCAUACCGCGUGGGUGAAGAAGGCCUUCGGGUUGUAAAGCCCUUUUGUUGGGAAAGAAAAGCAGCAGGUUAAUACCCCGCUGUUCUGACGGUACCCAAAGAAUAAGCACCGGCUAACUUCGUG
rnacentral:rRNA from 1 species